AGCACUAAGUCACUUUGUCUUUAUGGCAAAUGUGAGAUGCAGUGUAUGGAAUGUCAAAUUUCUAGUAUGAGAAAUUAACGAUUUAAGUCCUUCUUAAAUGAGGCCAUUUACCCAAAGAGGGUGCCAGGCCCGUAUAACGUUAAUGAUUACUAGAUGACAUUUCCAAAGAGUCGUGUUGCUUGAUAGUGCAGCACUAAGUGGGUGGUAAACUCCAUCUAAAACUAAAUAUAACCAUGAGACCGAUAGUAAACAAGUACCGUGAGGGAAAGUUGAAAAGAACUCUGAAUAGAGAGUUAAAUAGUACGUGAAACUGCUUAGAGGUUAAGCCCGAUGAACCUGAAUAUCCAUUAUGGAAAAUUCAUCAUUAUGAUUUUAAUAUUUAUAAUAUUAUAAUAAUGGUGUGCAUUUUUUCCAUAUAAGGACAUUGUAAUCUAUUAACGUUAAAUACAUUUAUUAUAAGAUCAAUUAGCUUUAGUUUAUUCAAAUUACUUUUGCUUGCAAAUUUAACAUAGAAUAAAUGCUUUUGAUUUGAUAAAGUGUUGAUAGAUUUAUUAUAUAUAGUGCUUGAAUAUAUUUUAUAUAUUCUAUAAUAGCGUAUUGAUCAAUGAUUUUUAUGUUCAUUAUAUGCACUUAUAUGAUUAACAAUGCGAAAGAUUCAGGAUACCUUCGGGACCCGUCUUGAAACACGGACCAAGGAGUCUAACAUAUUUGCAAGUUAUUGGGAAUUAUAAACCUAAUAGCGAAAUUAACAUAACUUAUAUAAUGGGAUUAGUUUUUAGGUCUAUAUUUUAUAUAGUCUAUGAAUUCAAUCCCGGGGCGUUCUAUACAGUUAUGUAUAAUAAUAUUUAUAUUAUUUAUACCUCUAACUAGAGCGUACCUUGAGCAUAUAUGCUGUGACCCGAAAGAUGGUGAACUAUACUUGAUCAGGUUGAAGUCAGGGGAAACCCUG
rnacentral:rRNA from 1 species